AUGGAAAAUUGAAUAUUUAUUUGUUGUUUCUUUCAGAUUUCAGAUGUUCAAACAAUGAAGAUCAACCAGACAAUCCUGAAAGAAUUCAUUCUUGUUGGCUUUUCUCUUUACCCAUAUUUACAGACAUUUCUCUUUGUGGUCUUCUUUUGCCUCUACCUUCUCACCCUCUCUGGUAACCUGGCCAUCAUUGGUCUCACUUGGGUGGACAGAUGUCUUCACACUCCUAUGUACCUCUUCCUUAGUGCACUCUCUUUCUCUGAGACCUGCUACACAUUGACCAUUAUCCCUAAGAUGCUCGCAGAUCUCCUGGCCAGGAACAGAAGCAUUUCAUUCAUUGGUUGUGGCUUGCAGAUGUGUUUUUUCUUGGGACUUGGUGGCACUAAUUGUUUCAUUCUCACUUUGAUGGGAUAUGAUCGUUUCCUGGCCAUCUGCAACCCUCUCAGAUAUCCAUUGCUUAUGACCCACAUGGCAUGUAGAAAACUUGUGGCCUCUGCUUGGGUUGCUGGCUUCUUUGUCUCUGUAAUAGAGACUGCACUGAUAUUCAGGGGCUCUUUCUGCAGCCCCAACCUUGUCAAACACUUCUUCUGUCAUAUGAGGGCUGUUGUGAAGCUGUCCUGUCUAGAUAGUGAACUCACAGAAUUCAUUGUAACAGUGAUCUCGGUGUCAGGUUUGAUGGGCACCUUCCUGCUCAUCAUCCUCACCUAUGUUUUCAUUCUUUCCACUGUCCUCAGGAUCCCGUCAGCUGAGGGCAAGCAGAAGGCAUUUUCCACCUGUGCUUCCCACCUCACAGUGGUCUUCAUCCACUUUGGUUUUGCAUCGAUUGUUUAUCUGAAGCCAGAAGCAUCAGGGGGAGAUGACACACUCAUAGCCGUCCCUUACACUGUCAUUACUCCUUUCCUCAGCCCUCUCAUUUUCAGCCUCAGGAAUAAGGACAUGAAGAAUGCUUUCAGAAAGGUACUUGGAAAGACAGUUUCCUUGAAUAAUCUUGGAUUAUUGCUGCAUGAUUGA